AAGAGACGUUGCCCUUCGGGGUAUACCUCCCACCCUUUGUUUAUUAUACCUUUGUUGCUUUUGGCGGGCCCGUCCUCGGACCACCGGCUUCUGCUGGUCAGUGCCCGCCAGAGGACCUAAAACUCUGUUUGUUAAUAUUGUCUGAGUACUAUAUAAUAGUUUA
rnacentral:misc_RNA from 1 species